AAUUAUGCAGAUUUAUGCACGACGCUACGACACUCGCACAAACUGAGAAGAGUUAGUUCAUUGAGAAUGGAUUGAAACUGAUGAAGAUCAAGCUGGAAGGAGUUAACUGAUGAGUAGACAUUACAGCAUUUCUUAUAUAUGCAAGAUGAAGCUGAAAGUGCCAUGCAGGAUGAUGCUUCUCUACGGUGGAUGAUGAAGGCAUGCUGAUUACAAACCCAGGAGAGGAACAAAGAACAGAUAUUGACAGAAUCAUAUCUAGAGAUGUGGGCCUACUACACUUCAUACGAGCAAGUGUGCUAAUAUACAAUACUUGGGUUAUCAUCACAGCCCUUCUGAAAACUAGCCUACAACUUCAUUGAUGAAUGCAGAAGACAUCUACAUGGGACUACGUCUUAAAGAUGCCACCCUCAUAUAAUGAAAGAGGACAGUAGAGAUGGGUUUAAACUUGAAUAUUUACAUACUAUUUAUUUAUUAUUUGUAUUAUA